GACGAACGCUGGCGGCGUGCCUAAUACAUGCAAGUCGAGCGAAUCACUGGGAGCUUGCUCCCGGUGGUUAGCGGCGGACGGGUGAGUAACACGUGGGCAACCUGCCUGUAAGACUGGGAUAACACCGGGAAACCGGUGCUAAUACCGGAUAAUCCUUUUCCUCUCAUGAGGAAAAGCUGAAAGUCGGUUUCGGCUGACACUUACAGAUGGGCCCGCGGCGCAUUAGCUAGUUGGCGAGGUAACGGCUCACCAAGGCGACGAUGCGUAGCCGACCUGAGAGGGUGAUCGGCCACACUGGGACUGAGACACGGCCCAGACUCCUACGGGAGGCAGCAGUAGGGAAUCUUCCACAAUGGACGAAAGUCUGAUGGAGCAACGCCGCGUGAGCGAUGAAGGCCUUCGGGUCGUAAAGCUCUGUUGUUAGGGAAGAACAAGUACCGGAGUAACUGCCGGUACCUUGACGGUACCUAACCAGAAAGCCACGGCUAACUACGUGCCAGCCGCCGCAGUAA
rnacentral:rRNA from 1 species